AAUUUAAGUGAUUAGAUAUACCGCCCCAGUCUGAAGUUUUUAUGACUGAUUGGUACUUCUCUGAUAAACA